rnacentral:rRNA from 1 species
GUGUCAGCAGCCGCGGUAAGACAGAGGGUGCAAGCGUUGUUCGGAAUUAUUGGGCGUAAAGGGCGCGUAGGCGGCUAUGUAAGUCAGUUGUGAAAUCCUGGGGCUUAACCCCAGAAGUGCAGCUGAUACUGCGUAGCUUGAGUCCCGGAGAGGGUGGUGGAAUUCCCAGUGUAGAGGUGAAAUUCGUAGAUAUUGGGAGGAAUACCGGUGGCGAAGGCGACCACCUGGACGGAGACUGACGCUGAGGCGCGAAAGCGUGGGGAGCAAACAGGAUUAGAUACCCUUGUAGUCC